rnacentral:lncRNA from 1 species
GGCGGCGCCUGCAGCGGGGUCCCCGGGGUUCAUGCGUGAGAAGCUGCCUCGGGAAGUUCCCAGGCCCCGGGACGUGUGCGGGGAACCCGGGCGCGAAGGCACCGCGCCGGGGAGCUAGGAAGAGAAGUUGGGAUGCAGAAACUUUACGAUGUCUGCCUUGAACAUCCCACAAAAGCUCUUAUCUGAACCCCCGCUAGAACCUCUAAGACAACUCAAUACUUGUGGGACUUACAUCAUGCCGAAAAGGAGCCGAGAACUCCAGUGUUUGGAAGAACAGCUCAGGCUUUGAAAGCAAUAUCCAAAUAAGACGACCAUGCAGUCACCAUGCCUUUGUUUGUUUGCUCACCUCUGAACCCAGAAUCUGAGCUCCUAGAAGAAAGGCAUCUCCCUCUAUCCCACAGGCACGGCUCUUCAUAGCCACACUCCAACUGAGUACAGUGCCCAGCACAUGGCUAAUACUCCAUAAAUAUUUACUGCAUGAAUAAAAGAUCGAAAGAGGGGACUCCCGAGUCUCUUCUGGACAUGGUGAUCCUUCCCUCACAGCAUGUACUAUGCUCAGCUCCUCCCUCCCUCUUGGGCCAGGUCUGAAGUUCAAAUCCCAGCAACCACAUGGUGGCUCACAACCAUCUGUAACAAGAUCUGACUCCCUCUUCUGGAGUGUCUGAAGACAGCUACAGUGUACUUACAUAUAAUAAAUAAAUAAAUCUUAAAAAAAAAAAAA